rnacentral:tRNA from 1 species
UGGCCGUAGCUCAGUUGGGUAGAGCGCCGGGAUGAGGACCCGGAGGUCGGGGGUUCAAAUCCCCUCGGUCAACCA